GCCUGUGUAGCUCAGAGGUAGAGCACUUCCUUGGUAAGGAAGAGGUCGCGGGUUCAAUUCCCGCCACCGGCU
rnacentral:tRNA from 1 species